rnacentral:rRNA from 1 species
UACGUAGGGUCCAAGCGUUGUCCGGAAUUAUUGGGCGUAAAGAGCUCGUAGGCGGUCUGUCACGUCUGCCGUGAAAACCCGAGGCUUAACCUCGUGGCUUGCGGUGGAUACGGGCAGACUAGAGGUAGGUAGGGGAGAACGGAAUUCCCGGUGUAGCGGUGAAAUGCGCAGAUAUCGGGAGGAACACCGGUGGCGAAGGCGGUUCUCUGGGCCUUACCUGACGCUGAGGAGCGAAAGCAUGGGGAGCGAACAGG